AUUCAAAAUGUGAAUCUCAGGUAUGUUUAAAUCCUAAUUUUUCAUUUUUUGAGGAGAAAGAAGUUCCUCCAUUUUAAUAUCGAUUUCGUGAAGUUCCUCCGUUCAAAUCCCUAAUCCGACUUGAAUAAAAGAAACGAUUCUAUCCAUAAUCGAUUUCACCUUUCUUUCUUCCCGUUACUGUCCCAUAUCGAACUAAAACCCAUAAAGAUUUGUAUAAGAUAUAUUUACAUUUGGGUAUUUUUGUAUAAUGGUUCUGUUAGACGUGUGGUUAGACCUGCCAUGUUGUAUGGGGUGGAGUGUUGGCCAGCGAAGAACUCUCAUGUUAGAGAAUGAAGGUUGCGGAGAUAAGGAUGCUCGGGUGGAUGUGCGGGCUCACCAGGUUAGAUAAGAUUAAGAAUGAAGUUAUUCGAGAGAAGUUGGGGGUGGCCCCGGUGGAUGAGAAGAUGCGAGAAGCGAGUCUGAGGUGGUUUGGGCAUGUGCGGAGGGAGGCCUAAGAGGUAGGUGAUUAGGCAUGACAUAGCUAGAAUGCGGGUUUACGAGGACAUGACCCUUGAUAGGAAAGUCUGGAGGUCUAGUAUCAGGGUUGUAGGAUAGGGGCUCCUAGCGUUUUUCAUACUCCUCACCCGGAGUUGGGUGAGGCUUGGCAGGGCUAUUCAUAGAUGAUUUGUGUAUUGGAUUAUCUCCCUUAUGGUAGUUAUUUAUGGUAGGUAGUGUCUGAUAUUAUUGCAUGCUAUUUUAUUUAUGGUUCUUAUGUUUAGAUAAUUAUUUACGCUAUUUCUGGUGGAUUUACUAAUGCUCUAUUAUUUUCGUUUUUGUUUUUCUUUUCCUUCACUGAGCCGAGGGUCGAUGUUUCUGCUGGAGUUACUAAAGUUCUUUUGUUUUUGUUUUUGUUUUUCUUUCCCUUAACUGAGUCGAGGGUCGAGUGGAGACAGCCUCUCUGCCCUUUCGGGUAGGGUAAGGCCCGUUUACAUAUUACCCUCCCCAGACCCCACUUUGUGGGACUAUACUGGGUAGUUGUUGUUGUUGUUGUUGGUUCUGUUAGACAAAAGUUUCAACAUGUAAUUAGGAUAAUUAUUUUUUCAGCAAUUUCACUUUUGUCUUCUCAGAUUUCAUCCCGAGUUUUUCUGAGUCAUUUGAUAAUCUAAAGGAAUACCUAACAGAUCACACAGAAAGAAUCAUUUGAAGCGUAUUUAGUCUUGUUAUUUUCGAUUCCCGGUUUUGACAGAAUCUCAGCUGUCUCUUUUCUUGGGUAAGUUAAAAUCUUCUUCUUGAGAGACGUUUUGGAUGUCGGCAUUCUAUUCAGUUUGAAUUAUUAUAGGAGCUUCAUAGGUUCUUUCAGUUAUGUCCAUGUCGCAAUAGUCCGUGUAACUCCUUAAAUUAUAUAUGGAAUAGUACAUAUAUAUGCUUUUAAUAUGACUUACUCUCCGUCCGAUGUGUAUAAUUUACAUACUGUGAAAGUCAGGUAGAACUAACACCCUCCAAAGCUGCUACAAUUUGAUGAUGCUUGGAUGGUAUAAAAGCAGGAACAUUUGGAACCUUCUCGGCUUGUACCUUUACUGCCUCAUUCUUUGAUGGAAGAGUUUCUGAAAAUUGAGCUGCCCCAUUGUCACAAGUGCGUUUAACAACAAUUGCAUGUGUCGCACCUUGUUGAUCCUUAGAGCUACUUAACUCGUUUUUAGCAUCCAGCAAUUGCCUAAGAUCUUCUUGAAACUUCUCUACAGAAAUUUUAUCGCCGCGAUACUCGACUUCCCCGUUCCCUACACAUUCUUGAUGAAGUGAUCAAGACAAUCGAUCUGAAUUCUUUACCUACCAAUGAUAAUGAUCAAGGACGGAUACUCUUGGUGCGUGCUUCUUCCUUCUCUCCAAGAGUUGUGUAGAUUACUUAAUAAGCUAACAGUUUGCUGCUAUAUUCUGGACGUAGGAGCAUUUCCCUGUUAUAGAUAUGAAAUGGUAACAAGUGAUCAACUGCUGUUGCUUUUAACUUUGACAUUCGAGUACUUGUCUUUUUCUUUUCUUUUUCCCCUUUACAAUAAUUAACUAGUUCUCAAGCUUACAACAUAACAAGGUGUGCUAUCUACAACCCGAUAGAGACCAACUAUUUAAAAUGCAUCAGGCCUUCAUCAUGAUACAAUUAUUGUAGCAUAUCGACUUUAAGAUUUCUUAAAAAACAUGUGCUAAAAAAUGGAAGUAGGAGUUUUGUAACGUGGAGUAAUCAAGUCUAUAUAUUUGUGGAAUGGUACAUCAGUCAUACGUGGGCUUGAUCUUAUAAUCUUUGGGAGCCCACUGUGGAUUCUGUUUGUGAGUUUGAAGCUAUAGGUUUUAGUCACUAGAACUAGAAUUCUUUUACCAAGUGUUUAUUAUGGGGUCAUUAAAUAUCUGAUAGUAGUUCAAAUAUUCUAUUUCUUAUCUUUAUACUUUUUUUUGGGGACCAGGCAUGUGACUUUUCUGUGUGGAGGAGGAGGGGUAUAUGCUCUUGGAGCUGUUGCUGCUAACUAUAGUAGGGACCAACACAAGAGAGAGAGCAGGGGGGCUAUAUGCUCUUGGAGCUGUUGCUGCUAACUAUAGUAGGGACCAACACAAGAGAGAGUUGUAUUUGAAACAUUUCUUUGAG
rnacentral:lncRNA from 1 species